CCCCAGCGCCACGAGUGGUCAUCACGAUUAUUGGGCCUAAAGCGUUCGUAGCCGGUCUGGUAAAUCUCUUGUGAAAUUGUUCGGCUUAACCGGACAGCGUGCAGGAGACACUGCCAGACUCGAGACCGGGAGGCGUAAGAAGUAUGGCAUGGGGACUGGUAAAAUGGGAUAAUCCAUGCUAGACUACCGAUGGCGAAGGCAUCUUACGAGAACGGAUCUGACGGUGAGGAACGAAAGCUAGGGGAGCGAACCGG
rnacentral:rRNA from 1 species